AGUUUGAUCAUGGCUCAGGACGAACGCUGGCGGCGUGCCUAAUACAUGCAAGUCGAACGCUUCUUUCCUCCCGAGUGCUUGCACUCAAUUGGAAAGAGGAGUGGCGGACGGGUGAGUAACACGUGGGUAACCUACCCAUCAGAGGGGGAUAACACUUGGAAACAGGUGCUAAUACCGCAUAACAGUUUAUGCCGCAUGGCAUAAGAGUGAAAGGCGCUUUCGGGUGUCGCUGAUGGAUGGACCCGCGGUGCAUUAGCUAGUUGGUGAGGUAACGGCUCACCAAGGCCACGAUGCAUAGCCGACCUGAGAGGGUGAUCGGCCACACUGGGACUGAGACACGGCCCAGACUCCUACGGGAGGCAGCAGUAGGGAAUCUUCGGCAAUGGACGAAAGUCUGACCGAGCAACGCCGCGUGAAGUGAAGAAGGUUUUCGGAUUCGUAAAACUUCUGUUGUUAGAGAAGAACAAGGACGUUAGUAAACUGAAUCUCCCCCUGACGGUCUACGAAGCCG
rnacentral:rRNA from 1 species